rnacentral:rRNA from 1 species
UUGCUGCUUCGCUGACGAGUGGCGGACGGGUGAGUAAUGUCUGGGAAACUGCCUGAUGGAGGGGGAUAACUACUGGAAACGGUAGCUAAUACCGCAUAAUGUCGCAAGACCAAAGAGGGGGACCUUCGGGCCUCUUGCCAUCGGAUGUGCCCAGAUGGGAUUAGCUUGUUGGUGGGGUAACGGCUCACCAAGGCGACGAUCCCUAGCUGGUCUGAGAGGAUGACCAGCCACACUGGAACUGAGACACGGUCCAGACUCCUACGGGAGGCAGCAGUGGGGAAUAUUGCACAAUGGGCGCAAGCCUGAUGCAGCCAUGCCGCGUGUAUGAAGAAGGCCUUCGGGUUGUAAAGUACUUUCAGC